GAUUUGUGGCUUUGUCAAGGUGGUGCGGUUUCGCAUUUUUGUGGGCCGUUGUUACUGUGGCAGAGCCAUCUUUGGGUGGACUUUGUGUGGCAUUAAGUUGUUGUGCAAUAGGAAGCCUAUCGUUUACUGUGAGUAAAUUAGAGUGUUCAAAGCAGGCUUAUGCCGAUGAAUAUGUUAGCAUGGAAUAAUAAAAUACGAUCUCGUGACUAUUUUGUUGGUUUGUGUCUUGAGAUAAUGAUUAAUAGGGAUAGUUGGGGGUAUUUGUAUUCCACUGUCAGAGGUGAAAUUCUUGGAUUUUUGGAAGACAAACUACUGCGAAAGCAUU
rnacentral:rRNA from 1 species